GUACCAUCCAACUCACUAUAUAGCUCCAGUGCAGUUCAGGCUCCAGAAACAUGCAGGAGAGCACAGUGGAGACGGGUACUAAUGGAAGAAAUGAGAGGUCUUGGCGAGACACCACAUCAGACUCCCCAUCAAAGGCAGCAGCUCUGAGCACAUCGGCUCUAGGUCAAAGUCUGCUCUACGAGGAUCAUCGCUCUGCACCCCCUCAUUGGUGUUCUGACAGACCAUCAGCAUCUGGAGCAUUCUCCUCUCCACACUAUUUGGGGAAACUUGGAUUCUACUCUUCACCUUUCCCAACUCUAGGCAGCUAUCAAGCAACCAGGAUCAAACCAGCAAAGGAUGAAUGAGUCAAGGGACAAGCAAGUGGCAGAGGACACAGAACAGCGCAAGGAGCUGGAUGUGACGACAAAAGUUAGUGAACAGAGCAUGUCUGGAGUUCUGCUUGAAGAAUCACUCUGGCUUCUCAGAGGCACAUAUCAUGGAAGAAGAAGGCAAGAAUUUUCCAGUGAUGCAUGAGAGGGCAUCACGUUCGGAGGCAGACACAGAACAAGAUGAUCCCUUGUUUUGAAGACCGGUGGACUACAAGUUAAGACGAGCCGUUACAUGGACGGUGUAAUCCGGAGCCGGAGCCGAGGCAGGACCGGGCCUACGAGUGCGGGACAAGACAGGACGAUGAGGAACACCUCUGCGGAACCACACUGGGACCCACAGGACACGCAGCUUUCCUGAGGCUUUCUCGGCUCACAUAGCGGUAAUCUAUUCUUCAGUUUUCUGUUAUUUAUCUUUAAUUUAUCUGUCAUUGGAUCAGAAUAAGCCUGGGAGCCUGUAUUUCUUUAAUUGGGUGUGAUUUUUAGUGAUAACCCAGCUAUUGGUUGGUUUUAUAACUGAUAAUUGGUACAAAAAGAGUUAAUGAGGUCUUCCUUAGGAGAUUACACUUUUAACUGUAUCAGA